ensembl:lncRNA
GUGAGUGUCCAGUCCUGAUCCCAUAUAAGUGAUUCAUACAAGACUUAACAAAAUUGCGUAUUUUCUCUGAUGAUUCAGAUUAAUUCUUACCAUGGGUUGGCAUUUAAUUGUACUAAUAAUUGUUGCAACUUUUGAAACAAUUACUUCUUGACAUGUCUUCACAGCAUUCUUUGUCCAAGAUGUCCCUAUCAAAGAGAUAUUUCUCAUGAGUACAAGAGCCAUACAAUAGACCAUGUUACAAAAAGCAGAGUUUCUCCUCUGAAUUUUUGAUUUCAGCACAUUCCUACCCCAUAUGGGACUUCAGGAAGUCUUUAGGAUUCAUCACUGUCUUUUACUGCCCUUAGUCCGUGAAGUUGAGCCUGAACCUUCAUCUGGACUCAACUCGUUCUCCACCUAUGGAAUCGGAACAUCACCAUUUGUUUCAGAGUUCUACAGCAGAACAUAACAAGAAUAUGAAUGCAGAUUUUCAGAUCUGAAGAGAAAGUCUGGAGGUGGAGAAAGGAGAAAAACUUUGACUUCAUCACACUGCUGUCAGCAAGAAGGAGGGGAAGAAGCUGCUACACUCUUUACAUUUCUGAACUGGGAAAGCGUAUCACUGUGAUCAGAGACACUGUGAUUAUCUCUAUGUAAAGAAAAAAAAUCAACUACAAUAAUCAAAAACAACCACAGCAAUCUCCAUUUCCUUGCAAGGGGAAAGAAGAAGGAGGAAACAGAAGGAGAUCAUAGAAUCACAGAAUUGUAGGGGCUGGAAGGGACUUCUAGAGACCACUGAGUCCAGCCACUCUGAAAAGCAGGCCCCCUACCACAGGCUUCACAGUUGGGCAUCCAGGUGGAUCUUGAAUAACUCCAGAGGAGAAUCUACAACCCCCCCAGGCAGCCUGUUCCAGUGCUCCAUCACCCUUACUGUGAAGAAGUUCAUUUACAUAUUGGUGUGGAUCUUCCUAUGCUUCAGUUUAUGGUUGUUUCCCCUUGUCCUGUCCUCACAGACUGCUGAAAAGAAGUUGGCCAUGUCCCUUUGACUCCCAUCCUUAAGACAGUUAUAAACAUUGAUAAGACCACCUCUGAGUCUUUUCUCAAGGCUGACAGACCCAGGUCACUCAGCCUCUCCUCACAGGAAUAGCGUGGAUGAGGUUUUGUGAGAUGCUUCUGUGACUUUUGCUGAUCAGAAACAAUGAAGAAUUUCAGAAGAAUGAUUUACCUCAUCCAAAAUGAGAAUUCUGAUACUGUUUGAGGGGAAAUAAAAGCAAUUAGUAGUUCAAUCACUAGUUCCAUCACUGGUAUGCAAGCUAAUGAGACAACUCAUUCAUAUAUAUUUUCCACUAGACAGUGAUAAAUCUUUGUUUAAGGAGUUAUUUUAGCCUUUUGGUCAUUCUUCACUUCUUACUGAACUCAUCAGAAAGUUCAGCUAGUAAUAAUCAGGAUAAAUAGUACUGCUAGUCUCUUAAAAGCUUACAAAACUGUUGUUCCAGCUGAUCAGCCCUCUGGGAUGGUACUUCCAUUAUGUUCUGUUAUGUAGUAUCCAUUAUGUGUCUAGUACCGCUAGUAUGACAUUAAAAUUGAUUUUCCAUAUUGAUAAUCAAAAAAGAAAGAUAUUACUUUCCACAGUGCCUGUCUCUGACUGUUCAUUUUGGAAUGACCCACAGAAGUUGGAAUUCAUGUAUUCUGAUGCUCAAGAGAACAGUCCUGCCACUCUUCUAGUCAUGUUAUUCCCGUUUCUUUG